UUUGGAAACAGAUGCUAAUACCGGAUAAAAAGCUACUUUCGCAUGAAAGAAGUUUAAAAAAGGUACGGCGUAAAGCUGUCGCUAAAGGAUGGACCUGCGAUGCAUUAGCUAGUUGGUAAGGUAACGGCUUACCAAGGCGAUGAUGCAUAGCCGAGUUGAGAGACUGAUCGGCCACAUUGGGACUGAGACACGGCCCAAACUCCUACGGGAGGCAGCAGUAGGGAAUCUUCCACAAUGGACGCAAGUCUGAUGGAGCAACGCCGCGUGAGUGAGGAAGGUUUUCGGAUCGUAAAGCUCUGUUGUUGGUGAAGAAGGAUAGAGGUAGUAACUGGCCUUUAUUUGACGGUAAUCAACCAGAAAGUCACGGCUAACUACGUGCCAGCAGCCGCGGUAAAU
rnacentral:rRNA from 1 species